CCGCACGGGGCGUCUCCACCGCCGCGCUUACGCCCGCCUUCUCCUCGGAGGGGACCGAGGCGCUGCGCGAGGACCGCAGCCCGCCCCACGGCAUCCUGGGCGACGUGGAUGAGCUGCGCCGGGGACAAAUCCUUCUCCGCUCCCGAGCAGGUGCCAGCUUCUGGCCCUCCUUUGGGUAAAUCCUCAUCUCGCAGCAGGCUGCGGAGGGAACAUCUGGCAGCUGAUGAGGUCUCGUCUCACGUGGUGGCCUGGAGGAAGGUGAUGCUUUCCUCCUGCGUUGCCACCUCCACGCUGGACCAGCGCGACCCUCGUACGCUGAAUAAAAGUGGUGAGCAGAGAGGGCUGCUCGCGUCCCAGAGGAGCACCCCGGGGCUGUGAGGCGCGAGUCUCCCCGAACCUGCUGCACCGCUGCAGGAGGAGGAGGAGGAGGAGGAGGGCCGCGGUGAGCGAGCAGCCCCCAAGGCGACCGCAGAGCAGGCUUCAGGGCAGGAGUCACCAGAGGCAGCCCAGUCACGAUGCUCGAGAGCAGGGAAAAAUAAGGAAGAGAAGGGGGGGAUUUUCAGAUAAAUUCAGCUUUCCAGGGACAAAGGUCUGCAGAAAAUGUUAACUCGCUGGAAAACUAAAACUGCUCAGUCUGCACUUCCCUCUUGUACGGAAGGUUUGGGGUGCGUUUCCAGUUCAACUUUUACAAACUCCGGCCACACUAAAUGAGGACACAACUGCGGCUCAUCCUGGCGGCUCUGCGGGCUUCGAGCGGCUGAAGCCCAAAGCCACCUGAGCACCACAGAAAACAGCUCUGCCAAGUGCGGCCACCACGCAUGGGGCUGCACCUGGGAUGGAGCACCAAGGAGCGGGUGGUCUCCUGGCACAGCCCACCCCGCUAAGCCCUAGCGGCUCCAGCACACCCAGCGGGCCCAGCCACACCAGGCUGAGGUCCACCUGCCGCAAGGAGAGCAUCGCUCUCCCGGGGACCGAGCUGGACCUGCCCUUGCUGCAAGCGCUGCUUGCACGGCCGCGCGCAAGCUGGCUUUUUCCACGAGCUAUUAAAUGAGCUUGUACACCGAGCACUUCAAAUCGACAGGCUUCGCAAGAGCGAAGGUGGUGUCUGCAGCACUCGCAUGAUUCAUGCUGGCCUCCCUUGGAAAAACAAAACCAAACCAAACCACACACAAAUAACUCCCUUAAAGUGUCGGCAAAGUUUUGCAAAUGCUUUUAUAGAGCUCCACAGAUGGGAGCACGUGUAAAACUAGAAAACGGGUUCAAAUCGCUUUGGCCCAGAUUUGGCACGUCCUCUUUUUCCAUGAACGGUCGGAUACAAAGCACUUGUUUAUUUCUUUAAGAAAAACAGCCCUUGUAGUAUGGCCCGGCACUCCGAAACAAAGCAAAGCGUGAGCAUCGCUGGCUGGCGGGGGUCAUGCACGCGCGUGCGGCCAGCCACGCAUCGUGGCAGCAAGCAGGCACGCGUGGAGGCCCGGAGACCUCGGUGGGCUACAAAACCCCACGGGCAAGGCACCGGGCCAGCACAUGGGACUGGCUGUGCUGGGGACGAACGCAGGCCUCCAGUGUCCGCGGCCGGAGCGGGGGCACCCCUGCAUCCCUUUCAGAUGGAGGCGAUGAUGUGGUCUGCCGUUGUGUCCCAGCCCCGCACAAAGGCAGACUGCAAAGACUGAUGACUCUAAUAAACUCUGUUUGCUCUGGCACGCUUUGCAGUCCUCCUUGCAUUUCCCUCCACGGCUAAUGGCAGCAGAUGAGUUUUAGUGUUGCUGUUCACCAGCUCCUAGUUGCAAACAACCUCCGUUACUGCUGAGCUUUUGGAGUUGUGCAGCUCUUGGCCUACAAACGGUCCUUCAAACGCAUUAUUUCCUGCUGGCAUUAAAGAACAUUUGAAUCAAGGUCAUACAUCCACCAGUUUUAGACUUCUGAAAGCACAGGCAGCGAUUUCUCUUUUUUAAAGCAAAAACUGAAUUCGGAUUAGAUGGAGUCAGAAAGAGCACUUUGGGAGGUACUUGGAGGGGUUUUGCUGCGCUGUGCUGACCAGCAGACCCGCACGCGCACUGCUCAGUCCCUGGGAACAGCGGCAGCGAUGACGAUCACUUGCUGCACUGAUUCCAGCUGACAUGUUUCUCGUUCCGCUGGGUACGCCACUUAAAAUGCUCUCGUAUUUAUAAUUCGAGUGGUAGCGUAUUAGAAUAAUGCCAUAACGAGUAAAAGCUGUAACUGUAUGCUGGAAUAAAACUCCAAGACAAGUUUA